UAUUAGGUAUGGGCUAUAAAUUUAAAUAAUUUGGCGGUAAAUUAAUUUUUUAGAGGAAUUUGUCAUUUAAUAGAUAGUACCCAUUUUACCUUACCUUCAUUAAUUUAUUAGUUUGUAUGCCGCUGUUAUAAGAAUAUUCUUAUUGGAUUAAUUUUCUUUAUUUUUAAAAAAAAAUAAAUAUCAAGUCAAGGUGUAGCUUAUAUGUUGGAAUUAGAUGAAUUCCAAUUUAUAUAAUAAAUACGAAAUAUAUUUUUAAAUAAUUUUAUAAAGGUGGUUUUAAAAGUAAUUCUAUAUUAGAAAGAUUUAAGGAAUAUAACCUAAUUUAAGU
rnacentral:rRNA from 1 species